GACGAACGCUGGCGGUGUGCUUAACACAUGCAAGUCGAACGGUAAGGCCCUUUCGGGGGUACACGAGUGGCGAACGGGUGAGUAACACGUGAGUAACCUGCCCUCAUCUCUGGGAUAACAGUCGGAAACGGUUGCUAAUACUGGAUAUGAGCUUGCAAGGCAUCUUGUGGGUUGGAAAGAUUUUUUUUGGUUGGGGAUGGACUCGCGGCCUAUCAGCUUGUUGGUGAGGUAGUGGCUCACCAAGGCCUCGACGGGUAGCCGGCCUGAGAGGGCGACCGGCCACAUUGGGACUGAGAUACGGCCCAAACUCCUACGGGAGGCAGCAGUGGGGAAUAUUGCACAAUGGACGGAAGUCUGAUGCAGCAACGCCGCGUGCGGGAUGACGGCCUUCGGGUUGUAAACCGCUUUCAAUUGUGACGAAGCUUUUUUGUGACGGUAGCAGUAGAAGAAGCACCGGCUAACUACGUG
rnacentral:rRNA from 1 species